rnacentral:rRNA from 1 species
AGUUUGAUCCUGGCUCAGGAUGAACGCUGGCGGCGUGCCUAAUACAUGCAAGUCGAGCGAACAGACGAGGAGCUUGCUCCUCUGACGUUAGCGGCGGACGGGUGAGUAACACGUGGGUAACCUACCUAUAAGACUGGGAUAACUUCGGGAAACCGGAGCUAAUACCGGAUAAUAUUUCGAACUGCAUGGUUCGAUAGUGAAAGAUGGCUUUGCUAUCACUUAUAGAUGGACCUGCGCCGUAUUAGCUAGUUGGUAAGGUAACGGCUUACCAAGGCAACGAUACGUAGCCGACCUGAGAGGGUGAUCGGCCACACUGGAACUGAGACACGGUCCAGACUCCUACGGGAGGCAGCAGUAGGGAAUCUUCCGCAAUGGGCGAAAGCCUGACGGAGCAACGCCGCGUGAGUGAUGAAGGUCUUCGGAUCGUAAAACUCUGUUAUUAGGGAAGAACAAACGUGUAAGUAACUGUGCACGUCUUGACGGUACCUAAUCAGAAAGCCACGGCUAACUACGUG